GACGCCAAGAGUGCAAGUAGCUCAAGCCAAGCAAGGUCGAAGCCAGGUUGACCACGUGACCGUAUGUCAACGGACCGUCAAGGCCUGUUUCAUCGGACCGCUCUGCCGAUCUCUCGGCGUGGAGGAAACGUAAACAAAGGAGCUGUGCGCACCUGCUUUAAACAGAAGGCAGAAAACAAUGAGCCAGCCAUCAUCGUGCAGGAAGCCGACGCCAAAUGGGCUGCUGCUGAAUCGGUCAGGCAUGCACCAGCUAGGACCAAGAAAAUGGAGCAGUGUGCCUCUUCUCAGGAGUGACUGAGGGGCUGCCACAAGGGGAGAAGGCA
rnacentral:lncRNA from 1 species